GAUGAACGCUGGCGGCGUGCCUAAUACAUGCGAGUCGAACGAACAGAUGCGGAUCUUUCGCCUGUGACGUUAGCGGCGGACGGGUGAGUAGCACGUGGAUAACCUACCUAUAAGACUUGGAUAACGUCGAGAAACCGGAGUUAAUACCGUUUAAUAUAUUGAACCUCAGGGUUGAAUGGUGGAAUACUGUUUUUCUGUCACGUAUUGAUGGAUUAUCGCCUCAUUGGCUAGUUGGUAACGUAACGGCUUACCAAGGCAACGAGGCGUAGCCGGCAUGAGCGGUGGGUCGGCGACCCUGGAAAUGAGAAAUGGUACACAGUCCUGAGGGAGGCAGCAGUCGGGAAUGUUGCGCAAUGGGCGAAAGCCUGACGGAGCAAGGCGGGGUGAGUCAUGAAGGUCUUAGGAUCGUAGAACUCUGUUAUUAGGGAAGAACAAAUGUGUAGGUAACUAUGCACGUCUUGACGGUACCUAAUAAGAAAGCGACGGCUGACUACGUG
rnacentral:rRNA from 1 species